rnacentral:rRNA from 1 species
UACAGAGGGGGGCAAGCGUUAUUCGGAAUUAUUGGGCGUAAAGGGCGCGUAGGCGGCCAUUCAAGUGACGGGUGAAAGCCCUCGGCUUAACCGAGGAACUGCCUGUCAGACUGGAUGGCUUGAGACCGGGGAGAGGUGAGUGGAAUUCCCAGUGUAGCGGUGAAAUGCGUAGAUAUUGGGAGGAACACCAGUGGCGAAGGCGGCUCACUGGACUGGUACUGACGCUGAGGCGCGAAAAGCGUGGGGGAGCAAAACAGGG